GAUGGUGCAAAGGUUCAGUGCGCCUGGCAGUUAACCAGAAGGUUGGUGGUUUGAGCCCACCCAGGGACA